rnacentral:lncRNA from 1 species
AGCUUUUUUAUCCGUCGACGUCACUUCGUCUCUAUCCGGUCCACGGCGGCUACACCAGCGUGGAGCACGCCGACGUGUCGGGGUCGAACAGCGCCGGCAGCAGGUACUUCCUCCCCCUCGCGCCGUGCGCGUUGUAGCUGGCGCCCGUCGCCUUGUCCACGAGCAGCUCCCCGGCGUACCCGGGGUAGGCGCCCCUGCCGUACACCCCCGCGCACGCCGUGGCGGCCUCCAGCGGCGCGCCGCGGUCGCCCUGGUAGAACCCGUCCCCGAACGGGUUGGUGACCGCGCCGGCCACCACGGUGGCCACGUUGAUCACCACGCCGUCCAUGCCGGCGUCCCCGCUGGGCGGCACCAGCGGCGGCGCCUGUGGCCCGUACGCCGGCUGGUGGAACGGCCACGCGCACUGCCCCGGACACUGGUCGGCGGGGUUCCCCACCCACGCGUACGCCGCCCGGGACCGCGGGUCCGACCCGUGGUGCCCGCACCGGCUCAUGCAGAAGCCCUCCACCGCCACGUCCCGCGCCGUGAGCACCAGCGCGAUGCCGCCGCCGCCGGACGCCUUCGCAGGGCCACGCGCCCUGGCUGCCAGCGCCGGGAGCUGGGACAGCUUCAGGCUCUUCCCCAGCGAGCACCCCUCGUCGGAGACCUGGCGCGACAGGACGACCCGCGCGCUCCUGGCCACGGCGGCGCCGCCGUGUGCGCCGUUCUUGCUGACGGCCGCCGCCUUGGAGAGGUAGAGCUGGUUGAUGCUGCUCCACCACUGGGCGACGGACGGGGCGGGGGACGGCGGCGCCUCCCGCGGCGCGGGCGCGGCGGAGAGGGAGAGGAGGAAGUCGGAGACGACGGCCUUCUGCGCCGGCGUGAAGCGGCCGUACCAGAGGAUGGAUACGGGGAUGUCGCCGCUCAGCACCGCGCCGUUGUGGUACGUGAGGAGGUUCGGCUGUGGCUGGACCAGGAACGCCGCUGAUGGCGCGGCGCCCAUGGUUACGGCGAGCACCAUCAGUAGCAG